rnacentral:rRNA from 1 species
CGCCUGUUUUAACAAAAACAUGGCUUUUUGGGAUAGUAUAUAAGGUCGGGCCUGCCCGGUGAGUUUAUUUUAACGGCCGCAGUAUUUUGACUGUGCAAAGGUAGCAUAAUAAUUAGUUUCUUAAUUGGAAGCUGGUAUGAAAGGUUUAAUGAAAAAAUUACUGUCUCGUAUUUAAGUUUUGAAUUUUAUUUUUGAGUUAAAAAGCUCAAAUUUUUUAAAAAGACGAGAAGACCCUAUAGAGUUUUAUAUUUUUAUGCGUAGUAUAUAUUAGUAUAUUUUAUUAUUUUGUAAAAAAAGUAUUUGGUUGGGGUGAUUGGAAAAUUUAUUAAACUUUUUCUAUUUUUAGAUAUUGAUAUAUAGUUUAUUUGAUCCUUUUUUUAAGAUUAAAAGUUUAAAUUACCUUAGGGAUAACAGCGUUAUUUUUUCUAAGAGUUCUUAUCGAAGAAAGAGUUUGCGACCUCGAUGUUGGGAUUAAA